AAACCAAACUUUCUCUGUUGAAAAGCCUUUCAACACCUGUUCCAGGGGAAGUUGCCACACAAUCUGAUGCCAGUUCUUCUCGGGACCCACCCACCACCUCUCAUUGCUCCAGCCCCGGUAACCAGUUGAGACCUACAGAGCCCAGGUUGACUAAUUGAAGCCUGAACAAGGAUGGUUUGGAAUUAAUGAGGUCAAAACUGCUUGAAAUCUCUGGCCUGCUGUACAGGAUGGAGGUCAAAGGCUCAGGGAAAUAGAACUGGAGAAAUGGAUCAAUUGUUUGCAGCUGACUCAGGCACUCCCUAAUCAUAGGCAAUCCCUCUCUCCUGAGGGGGCCCGGAGGGCCCUGACAAUUGCACGGGUGAGUUGGUCAACAGCUCUCGGGGCUGUCCUCCGCAGGCUGGAGGUCACGCUGGGGAGCACAGCACAGACACCAAAUUCCCCAUCUCAGCAGGAAUGAUGGGAGCCCAGAGUGGGGUGGGAGCAGCCAUCAGCCACCAGGGCCAGGGGCAGCCUGAGGCCUCAGGAAGGCACACAGAAUGCCCAGCAGUAGUAUCUGGACCCACCGGCAUCUGUGUUGCUGGCUCCUUGCUCAUGGGGUCCCUGGACUUGAAAGAGAUGCCUGCUAAGGGCUGCUCGACAUUUGUAGGUAUGAAAAUCCCAGGUCUGCUAAGAGAAACUACCUCGUGGCUGCUCCCCAGUCCCCAGACCUAAGCCACUUCCCACCCCAGUGCACACCUUUCUGGACAAUUCCUUUAUUAAGUACUCCCUUGAAUGACCCAAGUUGAAGAAUGCCGCCUGUUUCCUGCUGGGAUCCCCAUCUGAGAGGGCAAUGCCUUCACGGGCCUUUCAUGUCGCUGGGUGUGAUGGUCAUUACGGACGCAAUUAUCAAAAUCAAUACAUCAGGGGGUUCUCCUCCCCAGAGACGGGUGGGACAAGGAAAAGUCACCCAGAGAGAAUCCAGUUACAACAGAAACCAAAGUUCAAAGGAAAUAGUGAGAAAUAGGGUUUGAUUUAGACUCUGUCUUGAUAAAUUAAACUGAAAAUUAUGGACAUGGGUUAGUUUUACCUUGGAUUUACCAAAAGGUAAAUUUAUGCAAAAUUGCAGCUU
rnacentral:lncRNA from 1 species